AGAGGUUGUGUGUCUCCAAGUACCAGCUGCUGCAAGAUGUUUUUGUCUUCAUUUGUCACCUUUGGGUUUUCCAGAGGCAUCUGUUUGACCUCCAUGGGAUAUUUGACCAAAUUAAACCUUUGGUCUAAUCCAAGGAAUGCCAUCUUUUAUUCCCAUGUUCUACCCAACAAACCAAAUGAUUUUCACUCAGGUCUUAGAAAAGUUCCAUUUGGACUACAGCUCCCAGGAUCCCCAGACAGCAUUGCCACACAGAUUUUAAAGAAGAAGAGCUUCUUUAAGAGGCUCUCCAUGCUGGGAUUGCCUGUAUUUAUGGAAUUUGACUAGUGCACAUGGGUAGGUCUAUGGGAGACAAUACAGUACUUGGCAGAUAGACCAAUGGGCUGGCUUGAGCCAUUUUGAAAGCCCAGUCUGAAACCAUGAAGCCAAGAAGACAAAUGUGGAGGGAGACCAUCACUUUGACAAAAGCGAACGAUGGGAACAAUUCAAUUACAUUUUGUGCAAUGACCUAUAAAUCUCUCUCUCUCUCUGUGUUUGCAGUGCGGUGGUCAGAGCCAUAAGUGAUAAAGGAGAAUCUGAAAUAGUGCUCUCCUCUUUUGCUGAACUGUUUCUCCUCCCCCUCCCCCUGCCCCCCCAUUUAAUGCUUGCUAUCAUUUUCAUUUGAUGCAGCAGAUGUGAGGGAUGUUACUUCUUCUUGUUAUGUGCCCUCACGUUGAAUCUGACUUAUGAUAACCCAA